GAUGAAGAACGCAGCGAAAUGCGAUACGUAAUGUGAAUUGCAGAAUUCAGUGAAUCAUCGAAUCUUUGAACGCAUAUUGCGCUCUCUGGUAUUCCGGAGAGCAUGCUUGUUUGAGUAUCAGUAAACACCUCAACUUCCAUAUCUUUUUUGAAAUGGGAGUUGGACUUGAGUGAUCCCAACGCUUUUCCUCACCGAAAAGUGGCGGGUUACUUGAAAUGCAGGUGCAGCUGGACUUUUCUCUGAGCUAUAAGCAUAUCUAUUUAGUCUGCCUAAAAAACAGAUUAUUACCUUUGCUGCAGCUAACAUAAAGGAGAUUAGUUCUUGUGCUGACUGAUGCAGGAUUCACAAAGACAGCUUCGGCCGACUUUGUAAACUCGAUCUCAAAUCAAGUAAGACUACCCGCUGAACUUAAGCAUACAAUAAGCGGAGGA
rnacentral:misc_RNA from 1 species